rnacentral:pre_miRNA from 1 species
GAUUUACUCCCUCCGUUUGGAAUUACUUGUCUCGAAUAUGGAUGUAUCUAGAACUAAAAUACAUCUAGAUACAUCCAUUUCUGUAACAAGUAAUUCCGAACGAAAAGAGUAUCGA